rnacentral:rRNA from 2 species
CAGUGAUAAACUGGAGGAAGGUGGGGAUGACGUCAAGUCAUCAUGGCCCUUACGACCAGGGCUACACACGUGCUACAAUGGCGCAUACAAAGAGAAGCGACCUCGCGAGAGCAAGCGGACCUCAUAAAGUGCGUCGUAGUCCGGAUUGGAGUCUGCAACUCGACUCCAUGAAGUCGGAAUCGCUAGUAAUCGUGGAUCAGAAUGCCACGGUGAAUACGUUCCCGGGCCUUGUACACACCGCCCGUCACACCAUGGGAGUGGGUUGCAAAAGAAGUAGGUAGCUUAACCUUCGGGAGGGCGCUUACCACUUUGUGAU